rnacentral:rRNA from 1 species
CCCUUAGAUGUUCUGGGCCGCACGCGCGCUACACUGAUGCAUUCAACGAGCCUAUCCUUGACCGACAGGUCCGGGUAAUCUUUGAAUCUGCAUCGUGACGGGGAUAGAUUAUUGCAAUUAUUAAUCUUCACCGAGGAAUGCCUAGUAGGCGCAAGUCAUCAGCUUGCGUCGAUUACGUCCCUGCCCUUUGUACACACCGCCCGUCGCUCCUACCGAUUGGGUGUGCUGGUGAAAUGUUCGGAUCGGCCGUUUGUCGCGGUUUCCGCGUCAUGUGGCUGAGAAGUUCAUUAAACCCUCCCACCUAGAGGAAGGAGAAGUCGUAACA